GAUGAACGCUGGCGGCGUGCCUAAUACAUGCAAGUCGAGCGAACGGACGAGAAGCUUGCUUCUCUGAUGUUAGCGGCGGACGGGGGAGUAACACGUGGAUAACAUACCUAUAAGACUGGGAUAACUUCGGGAAACCGUAGCUAAUACCGGAUAAUAUUUUGAACCGCAUGGUUCAAAAGUGAAAGACGGUCUUGCUGUCACUGAUAGAUGGAUCCGCGCUGCAUUAGCUAGUUGGUAAGGUAACGGCUUACCAAGGCAACGAUGCAUAGCCGACCUGAGAGGGUGAUCGGCCACACUGGAACUGAGACACGGUCCAGACUCCUACGGGAGGCAGCAGUAGGGAAUCUUCCGCAAUGGGCGAAAGCCUGACGGAGCAACGCCGCGUGAGUGAUGAAGGUCUUCGGAUCGUAAAACUCUGUUAUUAGGGUAGAACAUAUGUGUAAGUAACUGUGCACAUCUUGACGGUACCUAAUCAGAAAGCCACGGCUAACUACGUG
rnacentral:rRNA from 1 species